rnacentral:misc_RNA from 1 species
GGGCUUAGGGCCCAAAUAGAGUUUACACUAACUUUCAAUUGAGCAGAAAUAGAUUUGGGUCAUAUCCGAAAGAACCAAGUCCAAGUGGUGUACCUACUCUUCCCGCCGCCCAGUGACGUCUCUGGAUUUUCCUUUCGCAUUCACGCCUGAGCCCAUGUAUAGUUAAACCUCUGCUGUUAAGUGUGGGUGUCGGUUUCGAUUAGGGUUUGUAGAAAACAAAAUCAAUUUCAUUUUGCUGUACCUCUGACGGUGCGGAGAUCGGCUCAGGUUACUCCUUUUUCUCCUUUUAAUUCGUCCUGUAAUUAUGUCCGUGCACCUUUUCUUUAACAUCAUUACUUUUCUUACGUCGUUUUAGGGUUUCUUUUCGCCCUAAUUAAAGAUGGUGUUUGCUUAUUUUCAUAGUUAGUAUAUACCAUAUGCGGUGUGUGAUCCAGUUGUUUUGAGGUUUUCUGCAUAUAAUUGUAUUAAAUUUGGAGAUGGUUAGAUGAGUGGCAUGUUGUUGUUAAUAUAAGAACUGGGCUUGAAUUAGUACGCUAGUGAUGCGACUUGCUGGAUUUUUAUGUUUAUUUGGUCUUUUGUUUUUAGGUUCUUAACUAUUUUUUAAAUCAUUACUAAUUUUGAAGGUUCAGAUUCAGUUUUCUUGUUGGGAUUUUUGGAUUUGUGUUACAUAAUUGCUUAAUUCUCCUUGUGUUUUAAAGAAAUUCGAGUUUUGAUUAUAGGAAUUAUCCAGUUUAUCACCUGCUGCGUUUCUUUAUAGUUGCAUAAUGCGACAAUAAAAUAAUUUUUUCAUAGAUUUCUGCCCAAAAUCUGCAAAUAUAAAGUAUAAAUCACAUCGCUUUGCUGAGUUUUACUUUGGAAAAAAUGCAUUUGUGUAUUUUUGAGGGAAAAAGAGAGUAUAUUUUAACUUAGAGCCACAUCAACAAACUGGGAAGGGAAAAUACAUUAUUUUCCAUGGCAGUGACACAUUGGCAGUUUAAUGGUUAAACAAGAUGAAAUCUGAAAAGGUGAUAUAAAAUUUACAAUAGUUAAAGUAUAUAGUAUGAUAAAAAUGAUUGGGUGCUCUAAUUAAGGUACAUUAUUUUUUUCUUUUGUAAGUUAGUGUAUCGUUUUUAGUUUUCGUCGUCUUCACUGUAACUUUAUUUGUGGAGGUAGCUUAAAUUGGUAGCCAACCAUUAAUUGGAAGCUUGAACUUGUUAUGUGUGUAACAAUGUAGUUUGGCUUUUGCCUCUUUAUCCUAGCUAAACUAUUUUUUCCAUAGGAUCGUAAUGGAUUUCCUUGUCAUGGACAAUUUUAUCAAAUUUACUCAUGAUGCAUUUGCAAAAUUGCAGCCUUAUCCUCUCUUUUUUUCCCUCCUCCUUUUUUCUUGUUUUUUUGUUCCUGUGCUGCAUAAGACUGAUAAUACUAAAUACUUAUCUGCUGUUGAAUUUUCCAUUUCCUUCUCAAGAUUUUCUAGUUCAGUACUGCCCUUGCUAAUGCUUUGCUGGUGGUCUAACUAGGACUCUAAACAGCUUAAAAUUUCCUUUAUUUAACUUUAUUAGAGAUUUAGAAGUAUUUUUCGAAGAUUCAAUUCUUUGCUUGCGUGUAUUUUCAUGCCUAUGCGUGUAUUUUUCUAUUUGGUUUACGUAAACUUGACUGACAAUUCCUGCCAGAAAACUGAUAAUGUGAUUUUGGAGGAAUUGUAUCGUGCAAAAAAGACCAUUGUGCAUUUCCUUGAUGUAGGACUAGACCUAUUAGAUCUUAGAUCAUCCCUUAAACUUGAUCUUAGGAAUUGGGCCUCUUCCAUGAGUCUUAUAGCUGUGAAAGGAACUUGUAAAAUUUUAACAGGUUAAUUAGGGACAUGAUUGGAUAACAAUUCAGUCUGCUUUCUGGAGAUGUUGGGUUUGACAUUGGAGUUUUUGUUUGUUUGAUUUUAUCAUUUUAGGUGAUGGUAUAUUGUCUCCACCAAGCAUUGCAAUUCUGCUAAAGAUGCUGUUUGCUUUUAAUUUCUGUUCAGCUGUUGCCUUUUGGAUACACAAUUCUUU